GGACAUAUCAUAACGAAGAGGUAUCGUAAUUGAAGAGGUUUGGAAAGACCCACCACAGAAGGUAAUAGUCCUGUAUGUUAAACGAGAAGACUUUAGAUAUGAUCCAGAGUACCACGGGACACGUGAAACCCUGUGGGAAGCAGGAGGGACCACCCUCCAAGGCUAAAUACUACCUAGUGACCGAUAGCGUAUAGUACCGUGAGGGAAAGGUGAAAAGAACCCCGGGAGGGGAGUGAAAUAGAACCUGAAACCCUGCACUUACAAGCUGUGGAAGCACAUUUCUUGUGUGACCGCGUACUUUUUGUAGAACGGGCCAACGAGUUACGUUAAGUAGCAAGGUUAAGCACUUAAGGUGCGGAGCCGUAGCGAAAGCGAGUUUUAACUGAGCGUUCAGUUACUUGACGUAGACCCGAAACCGGGCGACCUACCCAUGAGCAGGAUGAAGCGAAAGUAAAAUUUCGUGGAGGUCCGAACCCACGAGCGUUGAAAAGCUCGGGGAUGACUUGUGGGUAGCGGUGAAAUUCCAAUCGAGCCCGGAGAUAGCUGGUUCUCCCCGAAAUAGCUUUAGGGCUAGCCUCAAGGUGAGAGAUACGGAGGUAGAGCACUGAAUGUCCUAGGGGGUAUUGCACCUACCGAAGACUAUCAAACUCCGAAUGCCGUCAUCUUAUACUUGGGAGUCAGACUGUGGGUGAUAAGAUUCAUAGUCGAAAGGGCAACAGCCCAGAUCGUCAGCUAAGGUCCCUAAAUGUAAGUUAAGUGGUAAAGGAUGUGGGAUUGCACAGACAACCAGGAUGUUGGCUUAGAAGCAGCCACUCAUUCAAAGAGUGCGUAAUAGCUCACUGGUCGAGUGAUCCUGCGCCGAAGAUUUCCGGGGCUAAAACUUACUACCGAAGCUACGGCAUCAGUAAUGAUGGGUAGGGGAGCUUCCCAUACGGGUUGAAGCAUGACCGUAAGGACAUGUGGACAGUAUGGGAGUGAGAAUGUUGGCAUGAGUAGCGAGAUGUGGGUGAGAAUCCCACAGGCCGUAAACCCAAGGUUUCCAGGGGAAGGUUCGUCCGCCCUGGGUUAGUCGGGACCUAAGCUGAGGCCGAAAGGCGUAGGUGAUGGACAACAGGUUGAUAUUCCUGUACUACCGAUAACCGUUUGAGAGAAGGGAUGACACAGUAGGAUAAGCUAAGCACACUGUUGGUUAUGUGUGCCCAAGCAUUGAGGCAGUCAAAGUAGGCAAAUCCGCUUUGAUAAUGCUGGGAUGUGAUGGGGAGCGAAAUUUAGUAGCGAAGUAGCUGAUUUCACACUGUCAAGAAAAGUCUCUAUCGAGGUUAAAGGUACCCGUACCGCAAACCGACACAGGUGGGUGAGGAGAGUAUCCUAAGGCCAGCGAGAGAACUGUUGUUAAGGAACUCGGCAAAAUGACCCCGUAACUUAGGGAUAAGGGGUGCCACCAUCAGGUGGCCGCAGAGAAUAGGCCCAAGCGACUGUUUACCAAAAACAUAGGUUUCUGCUAAGUCGCAAGACGAUGUAUAGGAGCUGACGCCUGCCCGGUGCUGGAA
rnacentral:rRNA from 1 species